UUCUCGAUAGCACAGGGGUUAGUGCAACCGCCUCUCGGGCGGGAGACCGGGAUUCGACUCCCCGUCAAGAUG
rnacentral:tRNA from 1 species